CACGUAGUUAGCCGUGGCUUUCUCAUAAAGUACCGUCACUCGGAUGUCAUUUCCUCCAUCCGUCUUUCUUCCUUUAUAACAGAAGUUUACAGAACGAAUUCCUUCUUCCUUCACGCGGCGUUGCUCGGUCAGGGUUCCCCCAUUGCCGAAAAUUCCCUACUGCUGCCUCCCGUAGGAGUCUGGGCCGUGUCUCAGUCCCAGUGUGGCCGGUCACCCUCUCAGGUCGGCUACGCAUCGUCGCCUUGGUGAGCCGUUACCUCACCAACCAGCUAAUGCGCCAUAAGUCCAUCCUCUACCAGUGCCUUGCAGCACUUUUAAUACGGUCACCAUGCAGUGUCCCUACCUAUGCGGUCUUAGCUGCCGUUUCCAGCAGUUAUCCCCCUGUAAAGGCCAGGUUACUUAUGUAUUACUCACCCGUUCGCCACUCGGGCACAAGUGCCCGCGUUCGACUUGCAUGUAUUAGGCACGCCGCCAGCGUUCAUCCUGAGCCAGGAUCAAACUCU
rnacentral:rRNA from 1 species